AUUCCCGGCCGGGCGCGGUGGCUCACGCCUGUAAUCCCAGCACUUUGGGAGGCUGAGGCGGGCGGAGCACGAGGUCAGGAGAUCGAGACCAUCCUGGCUAACAUGGUGAAACCCCGUCUCUACUAAAAAUACAAAAAAUUAGCCGGGGGUGGUGGCGGGCGCCUGUAAUCCCAGCUACUCAGGAGGCCGAGGCGGGAGAAUGGCGUGAACCCGGGAGGCGGAGCUUGCAGUGAGCCGAGAUCGCGCCACUGCACUCCAGCCUGGGUGACAGAGCGAGACUCCCCGAAAGGAGAGAAGCUGUGGGGUGGGGCGGACACAAGCAGUGGUGGGGAACUGGGGCCCAGGGAAAGGGGAGGCAUGUGAGGAGGAACCCGAGUGCAGAUGAGGGGAGCUGCGGAGAGGGGCCUCGGACCUUCCUGUCGAGGAAGGCCCAGUCUUUGGUGGUCUCGGCAAAAUGAAGAAUGGGCCCCAAGUGGAGAGCAGCACGUCCCCAGAACUCAUUUCUAUCACCCCUGUUUGUUUUACACUCCACCAGGCAAAUCUUCCGUCCACAGGGUUCUUUUUAAUACUUCUCUUUAAGCAGUGUAGUGGGGAGGCCAUGGCAAUCAUUAGCUCUGGAGGCCUGAGGAGGACACUCUGAAGAGGAAAGCCCCGCGAUCAUCUGGUUUCACCCCUGUUUUCAUCUACUCUUUUCCUCAGCGAAGCCUAUAUGGGUUCCCGAUGUCACAUCGCAGCUACCGCAUUGGAGGGUUAAGAGCCGCUGACAAAUCUCUUUCGGGAAGGGAAGAAGAGUUCCAAACAAAAGAUCUACUACCCUGAGAAGCGGUGAAGUGCUCCUGGGGCCCACCAAGGCCACACAAGUCAAGGAGUGGAUGGCCUUGCCCCAGCUAUGGCUCAGAUCACCUUUGCAGGAUGACAUCUUGUUGGGAGAUGGUCAUCAGAGACAGGGCCAUGGAAGACGCUGUCAGGAGGAGGCACAGAGGAAAGGCUAUGGGAGCACAAAGCAAGAAAGUGGCCUUCUGCAAGCCAGGAAGAGAGGCCUCCCCAGAAACCAACUCUACCAGCACAUCGAUCUUGGACUUUUGGCCUCUAGAACAUUGAGAAAAUAAAAGUCUGCUGUUAAACCACCCAACCUUUGGUAUCUUUCUAUGGCAGCCUGAGCUGACUAACACCCUUGGACACAGGUGGAGGAACUGGUAAUCUUCUCAGGGCUUUGCCUGAAAUGGUGUUGUGAAAUGUUCCAGCAAAGCCCAUUUAGGAGAGCCUAUAUGGACAAGGAUUCUUGCUGCACUUUGUGUGGGUAAUCAGGCCAAGUAUGUGGGACUGAAGCUUCUUUUGCAGGUAGGUUGGUCCUGCUGUGUUUUGUCUUUAGUGGAAAUGGGGAACUGGAGAGAGGAAGAUUGUGUUUCAGGAGAAACUACAGUAUUAGAUGAAUGUUUGAUUCCUGGGUGGCCAUGCGGUCACCCAUGGUGUGGAGCUGCUCAGGAUGCCCCUUCUCCUCAUGACAAAGCCAGAAAGAUGCAUGACCAGAUUCCCCAUGAUUGAGGAACUGACAAAUAGAAAGUGGGGACUGAAAUCGACC